CUCUUAUUCCAAAUCCACGAAUUUCCAUAAAUAGCGAUAUGUGACAAAAAUUGAAAUUUCUCACUCCUCUUUUUCGUUUCUCUCUCUCCUCAUUUCCGAGUAGAUCACUGCUCAGCUCCAGUCGUCGCUUUUCCAACUGCGGAUCGGCGGAGAAAUGGGGAGGGGGAAGAUAGUGAUAAGGAGGAUCGACGAUAUGACGAGCAGGCAGGUGACGUUUUCGAAGCGGAGGAAUGGAUUGCUGAAGAAGGCGAAGGAGCUCGCGAUUCUGUGCGAUGCGGAGGUCGCGCUCAUCAUCUUCUCCAGCACCGGGAAAUUGUACGAUUUCGGAAGCACAGCCAGUAUGAAGUCGGUGAUUGAAAGGUACAACAAAGCAAAAGAGGAACCUCACCAGUUGGUGAAUUCAAUUUCUGAAGUCAAGUAUUGGCAAAGUGAAGUUAAUAUGCUGAGGCAACAAUUACAGAAGUUGCAAGAUAACCACCGGCUGUUACUUGGCGAGGGGCUUAAUGAUUUAAAUGUCAAGGACCUACAGAACUUAGAAAACCAGCUGGAGAUGAGUCUACGGGCUGUCCGAAUGAGGAAGGACCAUAUCUUAAUAGAUCAGAUUGAAGAGCUUAAUCAGAAGGCGAACCUGGUCCACCAAGAAAAUACAGACUUGCAGAAGAAGGUAACAGUAAUUCGCCAAGAAAACAUGGAUUUGUAUAAGAAGGUGUAUGGAACAAGAGAUGCAACUGGAGCAGACACUAAUUCAUUCAUGACUGAAGGAUUAUGCAUCAGAGACGACCCAGAUGCAAGUAUAUGCCUCCAGCUUUGCCAGCCACAACAAACAAUUCAUGAAGCUACAAAGUCAGAGUGAAGGGAAUGCUGAAGGUUCCAUGAAAGGCGGGGAGAAGUUUCGUGGGAGACAUAUUAGACAAUACUUACAUCAUUGGAAUUCCUGAAAUGGAAAAGCCAGACGAUUACAUCUGGAGGUGGAGGAUAGUCGGCCAGUCGGAAAGGAACAAAACAAUUUUCUCAAUAACAAUAUCCCAUACCCACAAAUUUCAUGAUCAGAAGCAAGGUAGGAGGAAAAGGACAGAGAAAUAAAGGUAAUUUAAUAGUCUUUGUAACUCUAAAUGUUUCAAGCUACGAUGUGGGUUUUGACUAAUAUGCUUCAGCUCUCUUCUUUAUGAACAUGAUGAAGAAGGUAAUUCAAUAUGUUUCAAACAAUAUUCAUUUAUGAUACAUUUCUCAAAGAAUGACGAGGAAUCAAUUCUAUCGCAAGAUAUUUCUCACUCCCAAACUAUAGUAAGUAUUCAGACAAGCACAGCCACUUCACAAUGUUUCCUAUGGGCUUGACAUAAUACGCAUUAGAAAUAACCUGAAUUUCUGUAUAUAAACCACUUCAUGGCCAGAGGACACAUGUAUGUUCUAGAACAAAGUGUACAAGCACCGUAGAUUCUACAACAGAAUCUACAGACACCUAUCUCGAUUUCUCUAGAACUCUACAAAACU